rnacentral:rRNA from 1 species
CAGCAGCCACGGUAAUACGAAGGGUGCAAGCGUUAAUCGGAAUUACUGGGCGUAAAGCGUGCGUAGGCGGUGAGUUAAGUCUGCUGUGAAAUCCCCGGGCUCAACCUGGGAAUGGCAGUGGAUACUGGCUCGCUAGAGUGUGUCAGAGGAUGGUGGAAUUCCCGGUGUAGCGGUGAAAUGCGUAGAUAUGCGGAGGAACACCGAUGGCGAAGGCAGCCCCCUGGGCCAACACUGACGCUCAUGCACGAAAGCGUGGGGAGCAAACAGGAUUAGAUACCCCGGUAGUCCCUGUCUCUUAUAC